UACAGAGGGUGCGAGCGUUGUCCGGAAUCACUGGACGUAAAGGGCGCGUAGGCGGUCUGCUAAGCGUGUGGUGAAAGCUCGGGGCUCAACCCCGCGUCGGCCAUGCGAACUGGUGGACUGGAGCUUGUCAGAGGCAGGCGGAAUUCCGGGUGUAGCGGUGGAAUGCGUAGAGAUCCGGAAGAACACCGGUGGCGAAGGCGGCCUGCUGGGACAAUGCUGACGCUGAGGCGCGACAGCGUGGGGAGCAAACAGG
rnacentral:rRNA from 1 species